AGUAACGCGUGAGGAACCUGCCUCAAAGAGGGGGACAACAGUUGGAAACGACUGCUAAUACCGCAUAAGCCCACGGCUCGGCAUCGAGCAGAGGGAAAAGGAGCAAUCCGCUUUGAGAUGGCCUCGCGUCCGAUUAGCUAGUUGGUGAGGUAAUGGCCCACCAAGGCAACGAUCGGUAGCCGGACUGAGAGGGUGAUCGGCCACAUUGGGACUGAGACACGGCCCAA
rnacentral:rRNA from 1 species